CCUACGGGAGGCAGCAGUGAGGAAUAUUGGUCAAUGGACGAGAGUCUGAACCAGCCAAGUAGCGUGAAGGAUGACUGCCCUAUGGGUUGUAAACUUCUUUUAUAAAGGAAUAAAACGAGGCACGUGUGCCUUUUUGCAUGUACUUUAUGAAUAAGGAUCGGCUAACUCCGUGCCAGCAGCCGCGGUAAUACGGAGGAUCCGAGCGUUAUCCGGAUUUAUUGGGUUUAAAGGGAGCGUAGAUGGGUUGUUAAGUCAGUUGUGAAAGUUUGCGGCUCAACCGUAAAAUUGCAAUUGAUACUGGUAGUCUUGAGUACAGUUGAGGUAGGCGGAAUUCGUGGUGUAGCGGUGAAAUGCUUAGAUAUCACGAAGAACCCCGAUUGCGAAGGCAGCUUACUAAACUGUGACUGACAUUGAUGCUCGAAAGUGUGGGUAUCAAACAGGAGUAGAUACCCUGGUAGUC
rnacentral:rRNA from 1 species